GGUUAACGCUGGCGGCGUGCCUAACACAUGCAAGUCGAACGGUUCUAAGCGCGAGCUUAGGAUAGUGGCGAACGGGUGAGUAAAAGGUAGGAAUCUACCCCUUGGACGGAGAUAGCUACUGGAAACGGUAGGUAAACUUCGAUAAGCCCGAGAGGGGAAAGUGGUGAGACAGCCGAGGGAUGAGCCUACUCUCCAUCAGGUAGUUGGUGAGAUAAAAGCUUACCAAGCCGAUGACGGAUAACCGGUGUGAGAGCAUGAACGGUCACAAGGGCACUGAGAGACGGGCCCUACUCCUACGGGAGGCAGCAGUGGGGAAUCUUGGACAAUGGGCGAAAGCCUGAUCCAGCGACGCCGCGUGGAGGAAGAAGUCCUUCGGGAUGUAAACUUCUGAACUAGCCGAAUAAAAGGCCUGUGGACACACAGGAGAAGAAAGUAGGUAGGAAAAGUCCGGACUAACUACGUGCCAGCAGCGCGGUAAAAACUCUAU
rnacentral:rRNA from 1 species